rnacentral:rRNA from 1 species
GGAGUUUGGGCCGUGUCUCAGUCCCAAUGUGGCCGUUCACCCUCUCAGGCCGGCUACUGAUCGUCGCCUUGGUGGGCCGUUACCUCACCAACUAGCUAAUCAGACGCGGGUCCAUCAUAUACCACCUCAGUUUUUCACACUAGACCAUGCGGUCCUGUGCGCUUAUGCGGUAUUAGCACCUAUUUCUAAGUGUUAUCCCCCUGUAUAUGGCAGGUUACCCACGCGUUACUCACCCGUCCGCCACUAAACUUUUCAAAUGACUCCGCUUUGUGCAAGCACUCCACUUCGUCGGGAGAAAGUUCCGUUCGACUUGCAUCGUGUUAAGCACGCCGCCAGCGUUCAUC